UCCUUCUUAGCUCAGUUGGUAGAGCGCGUCACUAGUAGGAGCCGCUUACAUAAGCUAUGUAAUCUCCGCAAUGACGAGGUCAGUCGUUCAAGUCGGCUAGAAGGAA